GCCGGGGUGGUGGAACUGGUAGACGCGCUGGAUUCAAAAUCCAGUUCCCGAAAGGGAGUGCGAGUUCGAUUCUCGCUCCCGGCACCA
rnacentral:tRNA from 1 species